GGCCGCCUGGCGAGCGGCCUCCAGGCCAGCUUCGGCCUGGCCCAGUUCUGCCUGUUCGGCGCCGGCACCGACCGC
rnacentral:tRNA from 1 species